CUACAUGAAGCUGGAAUCGCUAGUAAUCGCGGAUCAGAAUGCCGCGGUGAAUACGUUCCCGGGUCUUGUACACACCGCCCGUCACACCAUGGGAGUCGGAAAUGCCCGAAGUCUGUGACCCAACCUACGGGAGGGAGCAGCCGAAGGCAGGUCGGAUGACUGGGGUGAAGUCGUAACAAGGUACC
rnacentral:rRNA from 1 species